rnacentral:rRNA from 1 species
UACGAAGGGGGCGAGCGUUGUUCGGAUUACUGGGCGUAAAGGGCGCGCAGGCGGCAGACCAAGUCAGGCGUGAAAGCCCCGGGCUUAACCUGGGAACUGCGUCUGGGACUGGUUUGCUAGAGAUCGGGAGAGGAGAGUGGAAUUCCUGGUGUAGCGGUGAAAUGCGUAGAUAUCUGGAGGAACACCGGUGGCGAAGGCGACGUCCUGGACCGGCUAUUGACGCUGAGGCACGGAAGGUCAGGGAGCAAACGGG